rnacentral:rRNA from 1 species
GUGAGGAAUAUUGCGCAAUGGAGGCAACUCUGACGUAGCCAUGCCGCGUGCAGGAAGAAGGCGCUACGCGUUGUAAACUGCUUUUAACCGGGAAGAAACCCCAGGACGUGUCCUGGGUUGACGGUACCGGAGGAAUAAGCACCGGCUAACUUCGUGCCAGCAGCCGCGGUAAUACGAAGGGUGCAAGCGUUAUCCGGAUUCAUUGGGUUUAAAGGGUGCGUAGGCGGAGCGUUAAGUCAGUGGUGAAAUCCUGCAGCUUAACUGUAGACUUGCCAUUGAUACUGGCGCUCUUGAGUGCGCUUGAAGUGGGCGGAAUGUGCCGUGUAGCGGUGAAAUGCUUAGAUAUGGCACAGAAAACCAAUUGCGAAGGCAGCUCACUAAGGCGAUACUGACGCUGAGGCACGAAAGCGUGGGGAUCGAACAGGAUUAGAAACCCCGGUAGUCC